rnacentral:rRNA from 1 species
UACGUAGGGUGCAAGCGUUGUCCGGAAUUAUUGGGCGUAAAGAGCUCGUAGGCGGUUUGUCGCGUCUGCUGUGAAAACUCGGGGCUCAACCCCGAGCUUGCAGUGGGUACGGGCAGACUAGAGUGCGGUAGGGGAGACUGGAAUUCCUGGUGUAGCGGUGGAAUGCGCAGAUAUCAGGAGGAACACCGGUGGCGAAGGCGGGUCUCUGGGCCGUAACUGACGCUGAGGAGCGAAAGCAUGGGGAGCGAACAGGAUUAGAUACCCUGGUAGUCCAUGCCGUAAACGUUGGGCGCUAGGUGUGGGGCUCGUUCCACGAGUUCUGUGCCGCAGCUAACGCAUUAAGCGCCCCGCCUGGGGAGUACGGCCGCAAGGCUAAA